UGAACGCUGGCGGCAGGCUUAACACAUGCAAGUCGAGCGGGGUGAUGGUGCUUGCACUAUCACUUAGCGGCGGACGGGUGAGUAAUGCUUAGGAAUCUGCCUAUUAGUGGGGGACAACAUUUCGAAAGGAAUGCUAAUACCGCAUACGUCCUACGGGAGAAAGCAGGGGAUCUUCGGACCUUGCGCUAAUAGAUGAGCCUAAGUCGGAUUAGCUAGUUGGUGGGGUAAAGGCCUACCAAGGCGACGAUCUGUAGCGGGUCUGAGAGGAUGAUCCGCCACACUGGGACUGAGACACGGCCCAGACUCCUACGGGAGGCAGCAGUGGGGAAUAUUGGACAAUGGGCGCAAGCCUGAUCCAGCCAUGCCGCGUGUGUGAAGAAGGCCUUAUGGUUGUAAAGCACUUUAAGCGAGGAGGAGGCUACUUUAGAUAAUACCUAGAGAUAGUGGACGUUACUCGCAGAAUAAGCACCGGCUAACUCUGUGCCAGCAGCCGCGGUAAUACAGAGGGUGCAAGCGUUAAUCGGAUUUACUGGGCGUAAAGCGCGCGUAGGCGGCUAAUUAAGUCAAAUGUGAAAUCCCCGAGCUUAACUUGGGAAUUGCAUUCGAUACUGGUUAGCUAGAGUGUGGGAGAGGAUGGUAGAAUUCCAGGUGUAGCGGUGAAAUGCGUAGAGAUCUGGAGGAAUACCGAUGGCGAAGGCAGCCAUCNGGCCUAACAC
rnacentral:rRNA from 1 species